CAACCCUCAAGCGCAGCUUGGUAUUGAGCCCGUGCCGGCGACGGCAGGCUCCAAAGACAGUGGCGGCGCCGCUGGGCCCUGAACGUAGUCAUCUCUCUCGUUACAGGCGCUCGGCGCGCUUCUGCCCAAACCCCAACUUUCU
rnacentral:misc_RNA from 1 species